UAGUCCACGCCGUAAACGAUGGUCACUAGUUGUUGGGGUCUUGUACCUCAGUGAUUAAGCGAAAGUGAUAAGUGACCCACCUGGGGAGUACGAUCGCAAGAUUGAAACUCAAAGGAAUUGACGGGGGCCCGCACAAGCGGUGGAGCAUGUGGUUUAAUUCGAUGAUACGCGAGGAACCUUACCAGGGCUUAAAUGUAAGUUGCAUAGAUCAGAGAUGGUCUUUUCUUCGGACUACUUACAAGGUGCUGCAUGGUUGUCGUCAGCUCGUGCCGUGAGGUGUCAGGUUAAGUCCUAUAACGAGCGCAACCCCUACCGUUAGUUGCCAGCAUGUAAAGAUGGGGACUCUAGCGGGACUGCCGGUGCAAACCGAGAGGAAGGUGGGGAUGACGUCAAAUCAUCACGGGCCCUUACGUCCUGGGGCUACACACGUGCUACAAUGGGUAACGACAGAGGGGCAGGCCACCCCGCGAGGGGGGANCGGAAUCCUUAAACGUUAUCUCAGUUCGGGAUCGGGAGUCUGCAACUC
rnacentral:rRNA from 1 species